AGAGAAUCGCUUGAACCUGGGAGGCCGAGUUUGCUGUGAGCCAAGAUUGCACCACUGCACUCCAGCCUGGGUGACAGAG
rnacentral:snRNA from 1 species